rnacentral:rRNA from 1 species
UACGUAGGGUGCGAGCGUUAUUCGGAAUUACUGGGCGUAAAGCGUGCGCAGGCGGCUUUGCAAGUCAGAUGUGAAAUCCCCGGGCUUAACCUGGGAACUGCAUUUGUGACUGCAUGGCUGGAGUGCGGCAGAGGGGGAUGGAAUUCCGCGUGUAGCAGUGAAAUGCGUAGAUAUGCGGAGGAACACCGAUGGCGAAGGCGGUUCUCUGGGACGGUACUGACGCUGAGACGCGAAAGCGUGGGGAGCGAACAGG